AGAGUUUGAUCCUGGCUCAGAUUGAACGCUGGCGGCAUGCUUUACACAUGCAAGUCGGACGGCAGCACAGAGAAGCUUGCUUCUUGGGUGGCGAGUGGCGAACGGGUGAGUAACAUAUCGGAACGUACCGAGCAGUGGGGGAUAACUAAUCGAAAGAUUAGCUAAUACCGCAUAUAUUCUGAGGAAGAAAGCAGGGGACCAUUUGGCCUUGCGCUGUUUGAGCGGCCGAUAUCUGAUUAGCUAGUUGGUGGGGUAAAGGCCUACCAAGGCGACGAUCAGUAGCGGGUCUGAGAGGAUGAUCCGCCACACUGGGACUGAGACACGGCCCAGACUCCUACGGGAGGCAGCAGUGGGGAAUUUUGGACAAUGGGCGCAAGCCUGAUCCAGCCAUGCCGCGUGUCUGAAGAAGGCCUUCGGGUUGUAAAGGACUUUUGUCAGGGAAGAAAAGGACAGGGUUAAUACCCCUGUCUGAUGACGGUACCUGAAGAAUAAGCACCGGCUAACUACGUGCCAGCAGCCGCGGUAAUACGUAGGGUGCGAGCGUUAAUCGGAAUUACUGGGCGUAAAGCGGGCGCAGACGGUUACUUAAGCAGGAUGUGAAAUCCCCGGGCUCAACCUGGGAACUGCGUUCUGAACUGGGUGACUAGAGUGUGUCAGAGGGAGGUAGAAUUCCACGUGUAGCAGUGAAAUGCGUAGAGAUGUGGAGGAAUACCGAUGGCGAAGGCAGCCUCCUGGGAUAACACUGACGUUCAUGCCCGAAAGCGUGGGUAGCAAACAGGAUUAGAUACCCUGGUAGUCCACGCCCUAAACGAUGUCGAUUAGCUGUUGGGCAGCUUGACUGCUUAGUAGCGAAGCUAACGCGUGAAAUCGACCGCCUGGGGAGUACGGUCGCAAGAUUAAAACUCAAAGGAAUUGACGGGGACCCGCACAAGCGGUGGAUGAUGUGGAUUAAUUCGAUGCAACGCGAAGAACCUUACCUGGUCUUGACAUGUACGGAACCCUCCAGAGACGGAGGGGUGCCUUCGGGAGCCGUAACACAGGUGCUGCAUGGCUGUCGUCAGCUCGUGUCGUGAGAUGUUGGGUUAAGUCCCGCAACG
rnacentral:rRNA from 1 species